AACUCUGCGUUUAGCACUUUAAUUGGGGUCCUGGCACUGGAUCUCUCCUGCUCUUACCCAUCUUCCACACUGUUUGGAGGUGUAAAGUGAUCAUGCACCAACACCAAUCUGGACCUGUUGUGCUAUCAUUUAAAGCCCUUCAGUAGCAGGAUAAAAGCCAAACUCCUUGAUUGAACAAAUUAAUCUGCUGCUUAGGCAAGACAGAAGAGGGGAACUUUAUUUCUCAGGGACUCAGUUGGUCCUACUCCCCAGUUCUGCUUCAACUGAGGCCCCACAAGUCCCUCUUGGGAGCAAUUCUAAAAGCAGGAUUUCCCUUUCAUGAUUUAGAAUCCACUCAGAAAAAUUAAGUUAAUAUCAACUCUGCAUUCAUUCUAGAGGCCCUAUUCCUGAGGGACCUUGGGAGGUCAGCUCACUCUCAGAAUAUUCCUGGAUGAUCCUCCAAACCUCUGAAACCACUUGAGCCUCCAGAAUGCCACAGGAACGGGGACCCCCUCUGAGUGAGAAUGCUCUGGAAUGCCUCUUCAGGGAACACUGCCUCCCAUAUAUACCCUCCAAGGAGAUCUAUUGCUGAGAACCUUCUGGGUCCCACAUAUUCUUCAGGACAUGACUUGUGAAUUCCUGAGUAUACACAGAACAGCCCACAUGGCUCCAGAGAGAGCACAAGUAGGAGUAGCUGCAAAAGGAGAGGGAGAAGCAGGCUCCCUUGCUCAGCAGGGAACCAGAUGUGGGCCUCAAUCCCAGGACCCUCGGAUUAUGACCUGAACCCAUGGCAGAUGCUUAACUAAAUGAGCCACCCAGGUGCCCCUGAGAUUUUAAUUUCUUACAAAAGUAGUUUCUUACCUCUGUUCAUUGACCCAGAAUUUGCUCUUUAAGCUGAAAGCCAAAACAAAUCAUACAAUGAAUACCAUAAGAAAGGUAGUAGUGUUAACUUUCCUUCCCAAACACUCAUUGGGGCCACUCAGUCUUCCAGGGCAGUUUUGUAUUUCCUGAUAUCCAAACAAAGUGGAAGCCUCCCAGCCCAGAGCCUCAGCCCAAAUACACAUGCAGAGGAAGGACUGUUCCACCACUGGCUCUCCAAGUCACAACCUGUAUUCUGGGCUUUCUGGGUGGUCCCGUGGUCAGGUCAUUUGUCAGACCAUCUGAACCAGAAAAUAUGGCAACCACUACAGCAGUGUAGAGUGAAGGCUGCAGCCCUCCUAUCUUCCACUCUGCAUAAACAAUACCCUAUUAUUAAUCACCUGCACACUUGGGAGAAGUUCUGACUUAGUACAAGCCCAAAGUUAAGAGACUGAUUUCCAGCCAAUCAGGGGUAAAAUUAUAAGACAAGUAAUGAGCAGAUGCCAAUUCUAGACCUCAUAGUUCAGGCCCACAAACUAUCACUGUCAUCAAGCACAAAACCCCAAAAUCCAUAUUGCAAAUUUGCUGCUGAGAACAAAGUUUGG